GACAGAGGGGGCAAGCGUUGCUCGGAAUCACUGGGCGUAAAGGGCGCGUAGGCGGGAUGGCAAGUCAGUCGUGAAAUCUCUCGGCUCAACCGAGAAACGUCGGCUGAUACUGCCGUUCUUGAGGGAUGCAGAGGAGACUGGAAUUCCCGGUGUAGCGGUGAAAUGUGUAGAUAUCGGGAGGAACACCAGUGGCGAAGGCGACUACCUGGCCUGUUUCUUGACGCUGAGGCGCGAAAGCUAGGGGAGCAAACGGG
rnacentral:rRNA from 1 species